rnacentral:rRNA from 1 species
CACGUAAGUAAUCUACCUUCGAGUGGGGAAUAACGUUCGGAAACGAACGCUAAUACCGCAUAAUGCAGCGGCACCUAAUGGUGACAGUUGUUAAAGGAGCAAUUCGCUUGAAGAGGAGCUUGCGGCAGAUUAGCUAGUUGGUGGGGUAACGGCCUACCAAGGCUACGAUCUGUAACCGGUCUAAGAGGACGGUCGGUCACACUGACACUGAAUAACGGGUCAGACUCCUACGGGAGGCAGCAGUCGGGAAUUUUGGGCAAUGGGCGAAAAGCCUGACCCAGCAACGCCGCGUGAAGGAUG